UACGGAGGGUGCGAGCGUUGUUCGGAAUCACUGGGCGUAAAGCGCGUGUAGGCGGCCCAUUAAGUCUGAUGUGAAAGCCCGGGGCUCACCCCCGGAAGUGCAUUGGAAACUGAUGGACUCGAGUCCCGGAGAGGAGAGUGGAAUUCCUGGUGUAGCGGUGAAAUGCGUAGAUAUCAGGAGGAACACCGGUGGCGAAGGCGGCUACCUGGACAGAAACUGACGCUGAGGCGCGAAAGCUAGGGGAGCAAACAGG
rnacentral:rRNA from 1 species